rnacentral:lncRNA from 1 species
UCAGUAUUGUCCCUGACCUGCCUCCUAACAUUUCUCUGACUUUUUAUACUCUGUUUGCAUAUUUCUGUGAACUCACCAGGAGACCAAUGUAAUCAUGUUCAGGCGGGAACUGUAAAGCAAAGCUAGCAAGUGGAGAAACCUCUAGAAUUGGAUCAUGUAUACCGCUAGUUGGUGAAGAUUAUUGCAUUCAGCUCCGCCAUCUGACUAACCUGAAUUUAUUUUCCUUCGUUUUAAGUUUUUUUUUGUCCUUUAGCCCAUUAUUAAUUCAAUCUGAAAUCGUGACUAAUGAUUUUGUUCCUCUCGUUUUUAGGUUCACAAAAAAUUCGUCGAAGGAGGCUCACUUAUCCAGAGAAGAGUUUCACGAGUGGUGUCCAUCCAACUGCCUCCGUAUCAAACCAGCUGAAAAACACAAAUCAGAUGUCCCUUUCUAAACCUUCAAAAUCUGUAAAUCCGCGUCAUUCAUCAAAAGCACCAAGCAGAGUUUGGAGCAAGUCAAUCGUUCCCUCUGUGAGAGGAAAGUAUGGAAGUCCUGACUCAAAGUACAGAAAGCCGAUGACUUUUUAUCAAUGCCCCAUCCUUCAACUUACAAUCAGACAAAGACUGGUGCGGCAAAACAGAAUGUUGACUUUUUUUUCACGCAUCCAGUUCAGAAAAAGAAGUAAAUUUUACCAAGGGUCGAUCACAAUCCAACAGUUUUACCGAUGUUAGAAAAAAGGACCCUUUUGCUUUCAGUAACAAGAGCCAAUUUUUUGACUUCAAUGAAAGCAGUAUUCAUGUCAACAGCCCUUCAGCUCCUAACCAGUCAGGGGCCUUGAUCAAUGCAACAGAUUCAGAUUUAGACUCAGACCCUGAUUCUGUUUUUAAGAUAAAAAAAAUUAAAAAAGAAGAAAACGUCUAGGUAUCUCACUCGUCAAAAAAAACUUACUUCCCGACAAACCCGUCAGAAAACAUCCUUCCACUGUAAUUCAGUCAUCUGACUCCGAUAGCAGUAUUGUUACAAAACUCUCUCAGGGGAUUCAUCGCCAAGGGAAGAUGAUAAUGAAAUUUUGCAAACAAAUAAUGAAGAAGUGAACGAUGAAGAUUUUAUUCUGCCAUUGCUUUCAGUGCAUGACUCGAGCAACAAAGCUACCUCACAAUUUUCUGAAAAAAGUGUAGUUGUGGAAAAUUACGAGAAAGAUAUCCUUGAAAAGCCUAACGAAAUACCAGAAGUUGCACAACCCUUUCACCCAGAUUCCAAAAGUAUGGUUUCUUGUUCAGUGAUCAUGCAAGCAGCGAUGAAAAUGAAGGUAUACAGAGUUUUUACAACACAACCAUGUUUCAAAAUUUGAAUUUUGUGGAUUUAAGAGAGACCGAGAGAGAAGGAGAAAAAAUAUUUUUUAGAAACAGCGGUCUUUUAAAAAGAACUGAUGAACACCAUCACAAGAGCCCAGGAAAUCUUACAACAGGGGAAAGAACUGAGAAAAAUGAAGAUGAAAAGUCCAUUAAACGUUUGGAUUUUACAACUGCAAGCCAAGGACGCCAAAAAUUAAAUGAUCCAGCAAUGAUGGAUGCACAAAGCAUGACAGAUGAAGAUAAUGUGAAAGAAUCUGAUGAGAAACUCCAUUCAGAUACAGUGCUACAAUGUUCAAAAGCUCUAUAUGUGAAGGA